ensembl:snoRNA small nucleolar RNA, C/D box 1A
CCCAAUCUAUGAUGGUUAAUUAUCCCUAUCUGAAAAUCUCAGCUGAAGGGAAAUAAUUCAUUCUGAGGUUUAG